CACGUAGGGUGCGAGCGUUGUCCGGAAUUAUUGGGCGUAAAGAGCUCGUAGGCGGUUCGUCACGUCGGCUGUGAAAUCCCGAGGCUCAACCUCGGGUCUGCAGUCGAUACGGGCGAACUGGAGUACUGCAGGGGAGACUGGAAUUCCUGGUGUAGCGGUGAAAUGCGCAGAUAUCAGGAGGAACACCGGUGGCGAAGGCGGGUCUCUGGGCCGAUACUGACGCUGAGGAGCGAAAGCGUGGGGGAGCGAACAGG
rnacentral:rRNA from 1 species